rnacentral:rRNA from 1 species
GACAGAGGUCCCGAGCGUUAGGCGGAAUCACUGGGCUUAAAGCGUGUGUAGGCGGACUUCUAAGUACCUUGUGAAAUCCCACGGCUUAACCGUGGAACUGCUCGGUAUACUGGUUGUCUUGGGCCAUCUAGGGGCUACCGGAACAAGUGGUGGAGCGGUGAAAUGCGUAGAUAUCACUUGGAACGCCAAUGGUGAAAACAGGUAGCUGGGAGUGUGCUGACGCUGAGACACGAAAGCCAGGGGAGCGAACGGG